ACAGUGAUGUGCCUCUUUGCUUUGACACACGCUCUUCUUGCUGCCCUGAAAGGCCUUGGCCGCCUUUCCACCUGUUUCUACUUGCCCUGUAGAGCAGUUGCCUCCUGUUGGUCCACCCUACUGGAAGUCUGAGCUGGGCAGAGAAGCACCAAAAGUGGAGCUGGAGGAGCAAACAGAAUAUCCAGCACACUGCAGAAAGCUGAGAUUGGUAUUCUUCUACCGCAUGGCUACUCCUGCCACCAAGGGGAACACAGAGUAAAGUGACAACACUAAUUCAGGCUCCAUCAUGGUGACCAGGGAUUAGAAAAUAACCGCAAAGAGGCUCUGGAGAAUUUGGGAAGG